rnacentral:rRNA from 1 species
GAUGAACGCUGGCGGCGUGCCUAAUACAUGCAAGUCGAGCGAACGGACGAGAAGCUUGCUUCUCUGAUGUUAGCGGCGGACGGGUGAGUAACACGUGGAUAACCUACCUAUAAGACUGGGAUAACUUCGGGAAACCGGAGCUAAUACCGGAUGAUAUUUUGAACCGCAUGGUUCAAAAGUGAAAGACGGUCUUGCUGUCACUUAUAGAUGGAUCCGCGCUGCAUUAGCUAGUUGGUAAGGUAACGGCUUACCAAGGCAACGAUGCAUAGCCGACCUGAGAGGGUGAUCGGCCACACUGGAACUGGGACACGGUCCAGACUCCUACGGGAGGCAGCAGUAGGGAAUCUUCCGCAAUGGGCGAAAGCCUGACGGAGCAACGCCGCGUGAGUGAUGAAGGUCUUCGGAUCGUAAAACUCUGUUAUUAGGGAAAAACAUAUGUGUAAGUAACUGUGCACAGCUUGACGGUACCUAAUCAGAAAGCCACGGCUAACUACGUG